rnacentral:rRNA from 1 species
CGUGUAGGCGGGGAAGUAAGUCGGGCGUGAAAUCCCUAGGCUCAACCUAGGAACUGCACUCGAAACUACUUCUCUUGAGUACCGGAGAGGAAAGCGGAAUACCUGGUGUAGAGGUGAAAUUCGUAGAUAUCAGGUGGAACACCAGUGGCGAAGGCGGCUUUCUGGACGGUAACUGACGCUGAGACGCGAAAGCGUGGGGAGCAAACA